rnacentral:rRNA from 1 species
CAGUCGCCGCGGGAAUACGGAGGGUGCAAGCGUUAAUCGGAAUUACUGGGCGUAAAGCGUGCGUAGGCGGUUCGUUAAGUCUGUUGUGAAAGCCCCGGGCUCAACCUGGGAAUGGCAAUGGAUACUGGCGAGCUAGAGUGUGUCAGAGGAUGGUGGAAUUCCCGGUGUAGCGGUGAAAUGCGUAGAGAUCGGGAGGAACAUCAGUGGCGAAGGCGGCCAUCUGGGACAACACUUACGCUGAGGCACGAAAGCGAGGGGAGCAAACAGGAUUAGAUACCCGCGUAGUCCCUGUCUCUUAUAC